rnacentral:lncRNA from 1 species
GCUUGUCCUCAGCGCCAGGAACCUUGUCCUCACCAGCAGGAACCUUGUCCUCAGCGGCAGGAACCUUGUCCUCAUUGCCAGGAACCUUGUCCUCAUCGCCAGGAACCUUGUCCUCACCCCCGGGAACCUCGUCCUCAGCGCCAGAAACCUUGUCCUCAGCGCCAGGAAGCUUGUCCUCACCGCCAGGAACCUUGUCCUCAACGCCAGGAACCUUGUCCUCAACGCCAGGAACCUUGUCCUCAACGCCAUGAACCUUGUCCUUAACGCCAUGAACCUUGUCCUCAACGCCAUGAACCUUGUCCUCAGCGCCAGGAACCUUGUCCUCA